GUAACCCCAUCUUUUGUGCCAAUCAUGUGGGUGCCUCAUUCUGACCUCAGAAGAUGACUUCCAUGAUUGGCAAAGCAUGGCAGCAGCUGCAUGCAGAUAACCCAUCCCUUUCUCUGCGUUUAGGGAUAUGCAUGUUUGUGGUCGCAAUCUGCAUGCGGACAACAGAUCAGGCUGGUGGCUACAAAUCUUGUGGAGACUCUUGAGUAUCCCCCGAGUGCAGAGCAAUUUUGGGUUUAGAGCAAAAAAUUCUGGAUACUGACUGGCUGUUUCAGUACAUUAUGAAGACUGCCAAUGGUGGAUUCCCUGAUGUUCCAUCUUUCAGGGAGGAUUCCUAUAUCUCUAAAAAAAAAACUUUCAGGUGCACUAUUGGCUUUGAGCUACCAGAAUGUACGCUGGCUCCUUUCAAAGCAGAAGCACACCAAAAGAGUUGAAACACAUCGCUGCUGCUGUGAGAUCAAACUAGCUAUCUCAUUCAUACCAGACCAAUGCUGGCCUGAACUUCUGCACAGAUGUCUAUGGAAUGGCCUCUUUCUUACUCACCAGAUCUACAUAAAAUCUCAGAAGGCUGUCUCCUUGUUCAACUGUUUUUUCAUGAUGAUCAAAAAUACAAAAGUCAGAUUGUGAAAAAUA